UGGGGAAUCUUGCACAAUGGGCGAAAGCCUGAUGCAGCGACGCCGCGUGCGGGAUGAAGGCCUUCGGGUUGUAAACCGCUUUCAGCAGGGACGAGGUCGCAAGGUGACGGUACCUGCAGAAGAAGCCCCGGCUAACUACGUGCCAGCAGCCGCGGUAAUACGUAGGGGGCAAGCGUUAUCCGGAUUCAUUGGGCGUAAAGCGCGCGUAGGCGGUUUGUUAGGUCAGGAGUUAAAUCUGGGGGCUCAACCCCUAUCCGCUCCUGAUACCGGCAGGCUUGAGUCUGGUAGGGGAAGGCGGAAUUCCAAGUGUAGCGGUGAAAUGCGCAGAUAUUUGGAAGAACACCGGUGGCGAAGGCGGCCUUCUGGGCCACGACUGACGCUGAGGCGCGAAAGCUAGGGGAGCGAACAGG
rnacentral:rRNA from 1 species